CAAUAGCGUAUAUUAAACUUGUUGCGGUUCAAAAGCUCGUAGUUGGAUUUCUGCUGGGGACGACCGGCCCGUCAUCCGGCUGAGCAUCCGGUUCGGCUUUGGCAUCUCCUUGGUGAACGUAUCUGCACUUGACUGUGUGGUGCGGCGCCCGGGGCUUUUAUUUGUAUGGGGCUAGUGUGUUUCAAGCAGGCAUACGCCUUGAAUACGUUAGCAUGGAAUAAUAGUACAGGACCUCGGUUCUAUUGUGUUGGCUUCUAGAGAUGGGGUGGUGAUUCAUAGGGGUAGUUAGGGGCAUUCGUAUUUAAGUGUCAGAUGCGGAAUUCGUGGAUUUGUUAAAGACGGACUACUGCGAAAGCAUUUGCCAAGGAUGUUCUCAUUCAUCAAGAACGCAAGCUAGGGGAUCGAAGACGAUCAGAUACCGU
rnacentral:rRNA from 1 species